AUAAUGAUACUCCUGUCCGGUCAUAAAGUCGAGCGUGAUAAGACCGUCGUAACAAGUGAGGGCAGCCAGCAGAGAACCUGCUGGGGGUGAAAUUCCCGUGG
ncrna:unclassified sequences pemK RNA